rfam:Ictidomys tridecemlineatus contig054698, whole genome shotgun sequence.
CUAAAGGCUCUUUUAAGAGCCAUCACUGGGCCCCAAAGACUGUGUG